rnacentral:snRNA from 1 species
AGCUUUGUGCAGUGGCAGUAGCACAGCCAAUGAGGUUUAUCUUAGGCACGAUUAUUGCUAAUUGAAACCAAG